AGCUUUGCGCAGUGGCAGUAUCGUAGCCAAUGAGGUUUAUCCGAGGCGCGAUUAUUGCUAAUUGAAAACUUUUAGUGCCGUUUUUCACUAAAGGGGAUUUUAUGUGGAAUAAUUUAGCCACAGAAUGUAACAACUGU
ensembl:snRNA U4 U4 spliceosomal RNA